AACCGAUGGAGGCCCUGCCUGGUGGAGGAACCAAUGGAGGCCCUGCCUGGUUGAGGAUUUCUGUCGUUGGGUAGAUGGAGCCCGACUCUGAAACCAGGACUCUGGCUGAGGAGUGCUGAUGGAGGAGCCAAGACUCUGGAGGACGACAUCACUCUACCAACAAGGAUCCUCGUCAGUUUGCAUAAAAGCCAAACUACGUUUGUAACCGGACCAGGAAUCUGGAGGACUGACGGAGAAGCCAUACAUCUGGAAGGCAAAUCCUGAGGACGACCAGGACUCUACCAUCAAGGAUUCCUCUUGUAGCGUGCUGCGGGUGCUGGACUGGAUGCCUGGACUCUCCUCAUGGAUAACCGCCAGAACCCCAUCACCAUUUUAAUGAUG
ensembl:lncRNA